UGUCUUACAAUGAGUCAAGACGAGAUGCAUGUAUUGAAAAAAAGAGAGAACGAAUCAGGAAUAGGCAUGGGAGGUGUCUGGACAUUCAGGGGGCGUUUUGUGGGCUAGAAAGAAACUUGUACCUGUCUGGCUUGGGCGACUGGCUGGACAGCUGCAUAAACCAAUGGAAACCCAUGCAGAUGGAGCUCUCGCCGGCACAGCGUGGAC
rnacentral:lncRNA from 1 species